rnacentral:rRNA from 1 species
GAUGAACGCUGACAGAAUGCUUAACACAUGCAAGUCAACUUGGGUGGCGGACGGGUGAGUAACUCGUAAGAACUUGCCUCACAGCUAGGGACAACAUUUAGAAAUGAAUGCUAAUACCUGCUACGAGAGCUUUGCUCCCAUUAGCUAGUUGGAGAGGUAACAGCUCACCAAGGCGAUGAUGGGUAGCCGGCCUGAGAGGGUGAACGGCCACAAGGGGACUGAGACACGGCCCUUACUCCUACGGGAGGCAGCAGUGGGGAAUAUUGGACAAUGGGCGAAAGCUUGAUCCAGCCAUGCCUCGUGUGUGAAGAAGGUCUUCGGAUUGUAAAGCACUUUAAGUUGGGAGGCGUUACCAACAGAAUAAGCACCGGCUAACUUCGUGCCAGCAGCCGCGGUAAUAC